GUGCCAGCAGCCGCGGUAAUUCCAGCUCCAAUAGCGUAUAUUAAAGUUGUUGCAGUUAAAAAGCUCGUAGUUGGAUCUCGGGAGCAGGCGGGCGGUCCGGCUCGCGCCGGUUCGCCGCCCGUUCACCUGCCCCACCCCUGCCGGCUCCCUCCCGGCGGUGCUCUUCGCUGAGCGUCCCGGGCGGCCGGCGCGUUUACUUUGAAAAAAUUAGAGUGUUCAAGGCGGGCCGUACGCGCCCGAAUAACUGCGCAUGGAAUAAUGGAAUAGGACCUCGGUUCUAUUUUGCUGGUUUUCGGAAUCCGAGGUAAUGAUUGACGGGGACAAACGGGGGCAUUCGUAUUGCGGCGUUAGAGGUGAAAUUCUUGGAUCGCCGCAAGACGGGCUACUGCGAAAGC
rnacentral:rRNA from 1 species